ACAGUUAUGGCAGUUAGUGGAACAGUCUCAGCUGACCAGCAGAUAUGUUCCGUUGUGCUGCUGUCUGCCUCAGAGUUAGAUUCAGGUGGAAAGCCGUGUUGAUCUGUCAAAGUCAUAAUAAAUAACAAGAUGGAAGGUGGAAAAAUCUUUUUUAAUAAUUCCAGUGGCACCUUUAAGAUCAACUAAAUAUAAGCUUUCAAGGAGAAAAGCUGUAACCCAGUGAGCUUCAGGGUCAAACUGGCAGGACCAUGAAAUGUGUACAGCAAGACUUUAUGUUCCCUGAAGACUACUGCGCUCAUAAUAACCAGAUAACAUUCAACGCACAGUUGUGUCAAAUGGAAGCUUUCAGUGAAGAAUUAGACAUAACAUCCUCAUUGGUGCAAUAAUAAUAAUAAUAUAGGAAAAUUCCUGCAUGUUAAUAUCCUUGGGGCAAGUAUUCUUUGGUGAGAGAACCCCAGCAGAGAUUUAAUGUCACAAAAUAGUGUUAUAGACAGUUUAAACCUAGAAAUUAAUAACUGCUAGGAUUUUGGUUA